UGGAGAUAGUCUGGCGUGG
rnacentral:piRNA from 1 species